GCAGGUGGCAAGCGUUGUCCGGAAUUAUUGGGGCGUAAAGCGCGCGCAGGCGGUUCUUUAAGUCUGAUGUGAAAGCCCACGGGCUCAACCGUGGAGGGUCAUUGGAAACUGGAGAACUUGAGUACAGAAGAGGAAAGCGGAAUUCCACGUGUAGCAGUGAAAUGCGUAGAGAUGUGGAGGAACACCAGUGGCGAAGGCGGCUUUCUGGUCUGUAACUGACGCUGAGGCGCGAAAGCGUGGGGAGCAAACAGGAUUAGAUACCCUGGUAGUCCACGCCGUAAACGAUGAGUGCUAAGUGUUAGGGGGUUUCCGCCCCUUAGUGCUGCAGCUAACGCAUUAAGCACUCCGCCUGGGGAGUACGGCCGCAAGGCUG
rnacentral:rRNA from 1 species